CACAGUGAACCCAAGCAACGACCAGUAACCGAAUGCAGUAGUACGGUGAAGCAGAGGGGCCGGAGAUCAACAUCAAAAUCAAGUGAACUACAACUAGAACUGAUAGAUAUUACAAAGGAACAGGACAUUUCAUCAUCACAUGUGAAACCGGCCAAUGCCGACAAGAACCAACACCCAUGGUUGAUCAAGCUUUACCGAUCAACAAAAAAAGCCAUCAAGGAUAGGGAGUGUGAUGAUUCACCACAAUCCAUCAGCACAAUCAGUGAUAAUACUUCCAACAACUGCAAAUCUUUGACUGCAUAUGAGCCUCCUUUGAACCUAUACUAACUGUUCAAACAGUUGAAGGCAUCAAACAUCUCUCCAAGGCAUCUCAGGGGUUUAUUCUCAAUCCAUGUCAACUGAGAUUGCAUUUCAAACACUAAUUGGUUGUGAAACUAUACCAUCAUACUAAGUUUAUCUAAAAAUAGUGCAAUGGAGUGCUGGUUCUCAAUGCCAUAAACAACAUGUCAUGUAGAGAUAGAUCAAGGGGUCGAUUUGGCUAUAUACAAUGUCUCAAAUCAAUUCACAGAUCACACAUUACGUAAAUUUCGUGCAGACAAGCCUCAUUAUCAUUAUUAUUUUGAGUAUUUGGCCAAAUUAUGCUGUAGUGAAGUACUCAUAUACAACCCACAAUACUGAAAAGAAAGAGAAAAACAAUUUCAUUGAAGAAGCUUUUUUGCAAGUUCUAAAAGCUGCAAACCUUCAUUUGCUGUUGGUAGUAGUCCUCCGAAAAUUAAAUAAUUCACAGAUACUUAUAAUAAUCUUUCAGGCUAAUUGUCAAUAAAGUAAACAGGAGAACAGGAAAUAUGUUUGACAGGCUUUUCACCCAUCAAGCUAACUAAUCUUACAUGCAGAUAUCAGAUAUGGUACACUAAAGGUCCAUAAAAUUCCUAUCCUUCAUCUCCUAUUCUGCAAACUUCAAAAUUCAUAUCCUAAAACGCCUAUCUGAAU